UUAUACUUUUUCCAAAAACAACACCACCACCCUUUCCCUUCCAUGCUUUCACAUGACUUGAACAAAACAAAGUUUGAAUCCUUUCAUGGUGGAGAAGCAUUAGCAACCCUCACCUUCUUCUCUAACCCAUUGGGGAACCUGAAUCAAUCAAUUUUAGUUUCUCUUUCUUUAAUGGGUAGAAUCUUCCUGUGCUAGUGUUAAAGGUCACACUUUUUCAAGAACCCAGUUGCAGAUUUGUCCUUGUUUCAGUUGAAGAUGGGUAUUUGCAACCAGGAUGCAGUCAAGCAAUUGCAAUCCAUGAUGGAAAAUGAACAUGCAUCAGAAAAUGAGAUUGACAAUGUUUUAUCAUCAUAUGUUGCUCUCAAGAUCCAAAAAAGUGCAGCCCAGUUUGUUUAGGCAGCACUUCAUGAGAUUGAUGUUCUUUCAUACAUUGCUAAGGGUGAC